UGUAUGUUUUCAUUCUUUCUGCUGGACCUCAGGUAUUUCAGUCCUUUUCCCACACCCAAUACCUGAUCAUGUUCCCUCUCUGCCCAUCCCUCAACCCCUUUGCCUGCCUCCCUCCCUUCUGCCUUGUGGUUGAUUUCUUCUCCUUCCCAAGUGGGACUGAGGCAGGGCCCUUCAGCUUGUUGAUCUUUUUGAGUUCCGUGGGCUGAAUCUUGGGUAUUUGGCAUUUUUUUUUUUAGUUUUUAUUUUAUUUUUUAUUUUUUAUUAUUUUGGCUAAUAACCAUUUAUUAGUGAGUACAUACCAUGCAUGUCCUUUUGGGUCUGAGUUACCUCACUCAGGAUGAUAUUUUCUAGUUCCAUUCAUUUUUAAAAUUGUCCUCACAUAAAGUCAAUAACCAUUAUUAGACAUAAAUUAGUUGUUAAGAGGAUAUUGUUUCAAAUAAGCAUAUUUUAUUUGAAAGAAAACAUGGUGUGAACGCACGUGUACACACAGACAGACACACACAGACACACAGACCGACACAAACACACACACACACGCACAUGCACAGACACACAGACACACCAGAGACUGCUACUCAGUCAAAACCUAUGCGUUAUUCUGUGAUCCUGUGAUUUGCCACAUGACAAAUAUGCAAAGCAUCCUCUUUCUCAGAUACCCCGGCAGCUGUCAUCUCUUCUAAUGUUCAUGUUACUCAAAAUUACUUACAAAAUUCAUGUCUCUACUUACCUAUAGUGAACAAAAAUCAAAACAAAAUUUUGUUUCAUACGGUAUAAAUUACAAAUCAUGUAAACCGACAUGUCUCCUUCCAUUGCCCCUAUAUACCCAGUCCUCCCCCUCUCUGAUUUGGGCUAUAGAUCGCCUAUGUAGAUCCCCAUGGUGGUUCACUUCUUGCAAUAUUUUCAUUAUUACAUUUAUCAUACAAAGUGGCAUUAUAUUUUUUAAUUAACCAUCAGGUUUUUUUUAAAUCUCUCUGUCCCUAUAUCCUUUCACUCGAGAGUUACUAAUUUUAUUCUUCUAUUAAUUUGAUAUGGUCUAAUGUUUCCUCUAAUUUAUUGUUUUCUUUGUGGGUAGUUCAGACAUUCUGGAUCUGUUACAGCUACAUUUAUCAACUUACAUGAAGUGAAAAAAAAAUCCUGUUAUUCUGUAAUUUUGCAAAAUAAGCUGUUCUUUUCUUUCUUGGAUCUUCUAUGGCUAAUAAACUAUUUUUAAAAAGCUUUAUUAAUAUUAAAAACAUCUUGAGAAUUUGUUUCAAAUGUGUUCACUUGUAAGUGAAAUACAAAUCCAUUGUUGGUUAAAAUGCAUUGGAUAUUAGUCCCCUAAAAAAAUGCAACUCAGAUACCCUCUUCACCUUUCAAGAAAGAGUCUUUCUUUCAUUCAAGGUUUUAGCAACUGGCUUUUAUGGUCAAACCAUACUAUGAUGGUUAUCUCAGUUGUCAAAUUGAUGGUUCCUAGUAGUAUCUAGGAGACAAAACAUUGGCUAUGCUUGUGAGGAAUUAUUUAGAAUAACUUAAUUUACAUUUAGAAAAACAAUCACUUUGGUAACAGCAUACCAUGAGUUGGGGUAAUAGAAUGGAUGAGAAAGAGAAUGGGUGUUGAAUGUGAGCAUUUGCUGGGCUUUGCAUUCUCAUUGGCUGUGAUCAGUUGCCUCUUUAGCCUGGUCCACACCCUUCCCUUCCCUGAUGCACUGUGUACUCUGUAACUGGAAUCCAAAUGAAAUGUUUUCUUCUUUUUGUUGUAUUUAUUAGUAUAUUGUCACAGCAACAUUAAAGUAACAAAGACACAUAUUAAUAACUUCUGACAAAAUUAUAAAAAUGUGUUUUCAUUAAAGUAGAGGGAGGAGGAGGAGGAGAAUAGGCCACAUAAUAUGAAGUAAUAGUUGCAAAUAUUCUAGCUAUAGAGAGGAAACCAUCAAGAUGUAAACAUACAGAGUAACUGCAAUAAGAGUUGAGUGAGUUGGAAAAAUAGGCUACGCAUCCUACAGUUUCCCCAUAGGUGACAGUGAAGCAGAAACCUUUCAAACAUUAUACCUGUACCUUGCAACAUUGAAUCACUGGAAAUGUCCUUAGCAGAUGUGAACGAAAUUCUGUGACAAAUGUUCUUGGCUCUCCAGCUAGCCCUGCUAGAAAAACCUCAAUCUGUCUAGGUCUAACUGCAGUUGACACCACUUACUCUUCCAUCUGGGUAUUAAUUAAUGUUAAUUAAAUUAAUGGUAUUAUUAAUCCUGUGCAGAGAUUAGUGUCGAUCUCACUGUAGACACAAUUUCUGGGCCAGGGCAACCAUGCCAGCACUCCUCCAGCUAGCUAGAGUAUGAUUUCAGAAAGGAGACGGGCAGAAAAACAGCACCGAGUUGUUUAUAUGUUCUCAAUCUCAUAUGUAACGUCGUUCUCCAAGAUAAUUAAAAAUUUGAACAAGUCAACCUUCUCCUAAUGGGAAACAUUUACACGUAGAUAACAUUUCUUAUGGGUGCUGGACCAGCAGUCUCAAUUGAACUGGAACCCCUAGAUCUCUCAAACACUGGACCAACAAACAGACAGUAUCCAGGGUGGGGGCAUCCACAUAGAGACAGGGUGGGAUGGGGAGGAGGUAUGGGGUGUAGAGCGGUCAGAGGGUGGAUGGGGGGGAUGAGAAUGGAAUAUGGAGUGUAAGAAAUAAAUUAGUUUAAAAAAUACUUAGAGAAUGUUCCUGCACUAAUAUUAUCAACUUAUAUUCAACUUCCUUUACUUUGAGAUCUAUUAACAUCUCAAAGAGAUAGUCUACAUCUGGUACAUUUCUCACCUAAUUUUCUUAAAUUGCUUUCUGAAACAAUCACCUUUGAGAAAGCUUCCAAGUUGCAAAGCCAGUAUCUUCAAAUUCAGCCGCAGUGAUGCUGCUCCAUUUUUUCCCUCAUUUUUUAUUUCAUGUCUCUACUUAAUGUCAAUUUUUAUUUCUCCUGUCCUUCCUAUUUCUCAGUUGGUAGAUGUUCUUGAAAGUAAUACCCUUUGCAGGCCUCUUUCCUCUAAUUCAGUGUCUUUUACAAGAUAACCUCCUGUAGGACUGCAUCUUUGUUCGCCAUAAAAAUAAAUUCAAGUUCUAGAAUUACGUAGUAAAAUUUUACACUCACAUAAGCAGUAACCAAAUAUAUGCUAGAAGAAAAUGGCUAAUUGGUUUGCAUUCUGAUCCCCACUGGGACUUCAAAUGCAAAUGUCAGUAAAGUUUAACCAGCUUUAUGCAUAUCUAAAAUUUUGACACCAUGCCAAGACACAUUUUUGUUUCCUCAAGAUACACUGUGUGCAGCAUAGUAUACACACCUGUAAUCCGAACACUAAGAAAAACAAAGCAGAACUAUUGCUUGGAAUCCUAGGCUACCCUGAGCUACAAAAUGAAUCCUAGGUCAAUGAAGUCUUAAGAAACUAAUUAAAUCAUUAAUUGGUUAAAGAUAAGUAGUCACUUUCCAAUGCCCUGAACCUUGCACUUUUGGGGCUUCCUUACUGUGUUUAUCUUAAUAUUAGAUUCUCCGUUGAAACUUCAUUCUAUGGCACUAUUCAUAAUUUAAUGUCCUAUCCAUAGAGGUUCACUUUUAAAUGGCAAUCUGAUAAUGCUUGACACAGAAUGUGGAAAAGAAAGUUCCAGCUGAUCUCUACACUGCAGCUAUUCCUGGUGUGAUCAGUUUCCAUUGGCCACAGACAACACUGCAUUGAUACUGUGAAAAACAUGUACAUUCCAUCUGGAGAACACAUUUGAGCAAGGUGACUCCAGGGAAAUCGUCACUUACCCCUGUGAGGUGCCCCUCCUGUACUUCCUGGCUCUGGACAGACAAACCCUCAGCAGGAUUUAAAGUUGACACUUGAUCUGACAUCAGGGUCAGAGAGGUGAACUGCAGUUGAGUGACGACUGACAGACAGCCCGUAGAAAGUAAGAUGUUUACUUCUUUGCUGUGUCCUUACCAAGGACAGAUUCUGCCAGUGUCCUUCUCCAAGCUCCACCUCUAUGAGUGAUUCGGAAUGUUCACUUGAAUACAUUGUUUGCAGUAACUUCUAUCCAUGAUACAUUGGGAGCACCCACUAAUGCCCAUAGGUAGGAUGCUUUUCUGUUCAAAGCCCCACCCCUCCCAAAAGGUUCUUAUUUCUACAUCACCACAUUGUUACAUGGCUCCUAGCUUUAGCAGGAAACAAGAUGUAUGCAUGCAUUGGUGGUUAUGAAGGGAUGUUUACUGAUUUUUGCCUCUUCCCAAUCCUUCAUGUGCAUGUCUACAUCAUGUCUAUAUUUUAACUGUCCUCAUUCUUUACCUUAAAAUGAAGGUAAAUCUAUGUGCUCUACCAUUUUUAAUACUGGUUCCAUGUUGGAAAGUGCCUACGGACUGUCCCUGGGAGAAUACCUACUAUUCAUCUAAGUUGAUAAACACACAAUGAAGAGGAAGGUGGGGGAAUGACAUUUUUCUAGUUUUGUAUGUUCUCAAAAAAUCUUUUUUUUUAAGUUAAAUCUAUCCCAGAUAAAAUAAAGUCAAUGCAAUUAAAAGAAAUUUACUAAUGAAAAGAUAAUCUUAGCUAUCAACCUGUGUGUGUGUGUGUGUGUGUGUGUAAAUUACUUGUUUGAUUCUAUGAAAAAUAUAAUUCCCUAUCAUUUAUUUGUAGGCAGAUUGAUAUUUUCAGUGACAACAGUAUAAAUAUGUGACUUUCUUAACCUACGAUAUAUAUAUAUAUAUAUCCCAUAUAUAACAUAAAUCUCAUAUACAUUAUAUAUUAUAUAUCUCAUAUACCACUAUGUAUCAUUUGUUUUGUUUAUUUGAAUAGUUUAUUUAUUUGUUGAUAUAUAAUCUUAUUAUAUAUCUUAUAACAGUAUUAAAAUUACUAAUGUCCUCUGUCUCCCAGUCUUACUGCCCCACCCAGUACCAGGAUUUAGAUGUUUCCCACAGUGCUUUGCUAUAUGCUCAUUCUUUUGACUAACAAGUUUAAGUGUCUAUUCACUCAAAGUGAAGCUCUGAACAUAAAGGGGAAAUGUGAUAGGUUUUCCUCUGAAGGAGAUCUUAUCUACUAGAAAAAAAUUUACAUGUUGUCCAUGUCAAUCACUAAUAAUUAGCCAAAUUUGUCCUGGCAAUAAAUACAGUGACAGAUGUCAAGGCUAGAUUACUCUAGGGUUCAAGCCAAGCAAUGAGCCAUGACAAUUCACUUAGUGGUUCCAAAUCAAAUAUAUUAAAAUGUCAUUGCAUAAAUAAUGAGGUAUGAAAAUCACAGGAUCACUAUUUCAUAGAAGAUAUUUAGUUAUGAAUUCUAAAUGAUUCUUCUAAACAAUGGAAUAGGAAGAAUGUUGAUAUUUCUUAUUCUUGAACAAGAAAGUUUUCAGUUAUUUGAAAUGUUUUGCUAUACAUCUUUAUAUUAGUAACUUCACAAGUUUUUUUUCCAAAUGCAUUUAGUAACAUAGCUUAUCAAAGCAGAAACAAAUUAACCCAGCUUCACUAACUACCUUAUUUUUAAAUGUCUAGCUACUAUACUGAUCCUGACCUGGUGAGACACGGCCUUGCUUUCAUUGUUAUACCAACUACUUUAUAGACAGAUGGGAUAAUUAGUGACAAAAUAUAGUCCACUAAAUCCAGUGUGUGCCAUCCUUCCAUGUCCAUAAACAAAUUAAAUCUUCUAUAUUAACAUUUUUGGAAAAUAUAUAUAUGAGAGGACCAAACUCAGCUUUCUUAUAAUGUAAUCCUUGUCGCUAAGGAGACUGUUCUCAGGAAUCACUGAUAGACAAAUAUUUUUAUUUGACUGUACUUUGUAAGCAUGGUCUUUGAAGUCGUCUCACGUAGGAACUAAAUGAAAUGAGUUUAUAUUCUUCUCUUUCAUUUGCAACCACAAUUUUAAUCCAGCAUAGCCAAGGAAGAUCUGUUAGCUUAUUUUUAAUUUCCUUUUUUAAUCUCCUUUUAAAAUAAUCACUUUUAAUAUCCCCCACAUGGUACAGUAAUACAGUCUGCGUUAGUCUGAUGUUUAAAGAUACACAUCACAUGAUUCAUUGUAUCAUUCCAAUGAUGAAUAUAUUUUUAUCAGUCUUUGAGGUGAUGUGCAAUUCUGAUGGUACUCAUGAAACACCAUGACACCAAGUCAACUUGGCUGUUAGGAUUGAAAUUGUUAGGUCAAAUCAGCCUCUUUCAUCAGACUUUAUUCAUAUUGCUACAUAUCAGACAUGCCAAUCAUCUGGUUUGGUGGCUUAAAGAAUCGUCCUAUUCGCAAUCAAAUAAUGCAGUCUAUUCCCUGGCAGUUAGAAUAAUGAUCUUCUGUUUGUAGGAACUUCUUUUCAUCUUCUAUUCUUUGAAACUUAACUGUAUGCAUUUAUUAGCAUUAUAAUUAUUUUAUUUGGACAGGUUGGACAGUCUACCAGUUAGACUCUCCAGUCUAUAUAUUAUCAAAAUGAAAAAAAAUCACUUGGUUUUAAAAAUAAAUUUUAGCAAAUAUUUGGACAAUAUGAAGACUUCAAAGUGUAUAUCAAGACAAUAUAAAGUUUAUGUAAAGAAUAUGAACUUUAUAUAUUGCCCAAAUAUGUCAAUAUGGGCAUCUUGCAUCUCUGAAUAUUUAUACUAAAUUAACAAAAGCUAUACAUUUGUUAUUAAUUGCAUUCAAUUGUUUUCUACAAAUACAAUUUUGUAUUUGACUUUGAGACUGAAACAGCAUAUCACAUAUUAUGAUAUAUUUAUUUACUUAUUGAAAAUGGAGACAGAUAAAUAUAUAUUCAUACAAAUACAAUUUUCUCUUCACAGAAGUCUACAAUUAAUAGCAACAACAUCAAAAGUCCAACUAUAAGUAGGUGCCUCCUAAAUCCUAGGUCUGUAGCAUGAUUAUAUUUAAAUACUCAAUCCACAGAAGCAUAUAUCAGGUAUCUGCUCCACAGAAGCAUAUAUCAGGUAUCUGCUCCACAGAAGCAUAUAUCAGGUAUCUGCUCCACAGAAGCAUAUAUCAGGUAUCUGCCACUGAUCUUAUCAAACCUGACUUCACUCACAAUGCAAAGAGCUGUCUGUUUCAACACCAUUACUUUUCUUAUUAUUUCCUUUUCUUACAACUUUUUCUCCCAUCAGUGUAAAGUACCUAUUGUAAUUCUUAAGACUGCUGUUUUUCUGCCUGUUAUUCUAAACCAAUAAUAGAUUGAUAGAAAGCCAGACUCUCUGUGGUGUGGCAGUCUUGUGAGUACACUUGAUGAAUGUUUUUCUUACUGUUUCCCAAUUUUGCUUUAUUCAUCUUGCAACUAAAGUCUACAAAGUAUCUUUUCUCUAAAGUGGGGAUUGGCCGGGAAUGGUGGCACACGCCUUUAAUCCCAGCACUUGGGAGGCAGAGGCAGGUGGAUUUCCGAGAGUUCCAGGCCAGCCUGGUCUACAAAGUGAGUUCCAGGAUAGCCAGGGCUGUACAGAGAAACCCUGUCUCAAAAAAAAAAAAAAAAAAAAAAACAAAAAACAAAAAACAAAAAAAACAAAAAAAACAAAAACCAAAAAAACAAAACAAAACAAAAAAACAAAAAAAAAGACUGUUAAAGUGGGUAUUGGUUACUGGGUCCCACACUGCCAAAAGCAAAUGAAUCACUGAACUAAUGAAGCACCCACCAGCGAUGUGACUCCUCCUGGCGACUAAUUAUUAAAGUGAAAAUAUAAGAGUAAGUGACAUUUACAGACUUAGCACAUGCCAGGAAUGAUACUAUACCUGCAUUAUGAUAAAGCAAUGAGUCUUUCUUUUAAGUUUUAAAAAAAAAUUUAUUUGUUGAGCGUGUAUCCAAGUGUAAAAUGUGUGUUUAAGAGCUUUUCAGUGUGCAUGGUCUAUUGCUCACAUGUGGAGGUUAAAGGAAAAGCUUGUGAGCGAGUUAAUUCUCUCUUUCCACUGUGGAUUCCUGGAAUCAAACUCGGGUCAUCAGGUCAUCGGGUUUGCACAGCUAAUUCAUUUCAUCAAUGCUCCUCUUUCUUCUAGGUAAAAGAAAAUGGAGAACCAUAGGGUUAAAUUUCCAGGAUACUACUAGUAAGAGAGAAGAGAUGGGGACUCAAAGGGUUAAACUAAAAUUUAAUUACCAUGUUACUUGAAGUUUUUUUUUAUAGGAUUCAAUUAAUUAUUACACUACUGAUUCUAGAAUUAGAGAAAAUUAGGGGCAAUGAAUUCAAACCUGGUACUCAUAUCACCAGCAAGGGCAAUCACAAGAUUUACUGCACGUAAUUAUGGUUCCUUUUCUAGGAAUAUUCCAUAACAACCAUGAAGAAAGUUAAGUAGACAAAUAUAGAUACAGUAUAAUCAUGGUAUAUAGAGUUGAUGUAGAAUCUUGGAAACUUAAAAUGAGAAUGUGUAAAUAAAAGGGGCCAUUGACUAAAGUGAAAGGCAGUACUGAUUUUAUGCUAUGUACUUCUAGGCAUUAUUACUAGCUGUUUUUCAAGAAAGAAACAAGAACACAUGCACAGAAGAAUAAGGUUUUUGUUUGGUUGUUCCAAUAGCCCCUAUUUAUGAUCUGGGUACUAUACUACCUCUAAAAGAUGACCUUAUCGAUAUUAGUUCUGUUAAGAUUUAUUAGGGCUCUGUAAAGUACUAUUCCUCAUUGUGAAGAAAACCAAUCCAAUAGUCUAUCUAACUUAUAAAGUGUGGCAUACUUAAUUCACAAAUAGGACCUUUGAACCCAAGUACAGGUAACUCUGAAAUCUAUGUACUUAAAUCCCUAUGCUAAGUCACAGUAAAAGGACCAUUAAUUAUUCAAGCAAUUUUUUAGUGUGUGCACACAGUACUAAUAUUUUACAUCCAACAGAAAUUUCUAUAGUCAAAAUGGUUUUAGGAAAAACUGUGAAAUAAAAAACGUUAUCCAAAUGUAAAUUUGUAUCAGUAGAUUAAGCAAUGUUUAAACGCUAGCUAGCAUUCAACCAAUUUAGGUAUGUAAAACUGACAUAAAGCAUACUAUAAUCUGCAAAUUUUCCAAGCAAAGAGUUUCGCAAAAUAAUAGUUAGUGUAUAAGGAAAACUGAAGAUAUGAGACUCCAUCUUUGAGUCUUGUGGUUACUGUUAUGGAAAAUGACCAUGCCCUGCUGCAAAUCACUGUUUAUUGAAAAUAAUCAUGAGUUCAAGAGACUAACUUUGCUUGCAUCUUAUGAUGCAAAGCACAAACUUUUGUGAAAUAAAAUCAUAUAUGCCAUGCUGAGACUCAAAGCACACAUCCCACUUGACCACUCCUUAUGAGUUUUGAUUCUCAGAGUAUCAGGAAUUGGGGUAUUUUUAUUUCUAGGAGACUGACUAUCUGACUUUAUGACAGUUACAACCACUCAUGGUACAUAUAUAAUACAUACAAUCACUGCAUUCCAAUCUAGAAGGUCAAUUUCCAAACAAAAGGUAAACCUGGAGAUUCAGUUCUUGUACCCAAUCCCUGCCAAGAGGACAACAGUGAAGUUAGGGAAGAAUUUGGUACAGACUGUGUAACUUCAAAUGUUCUGUUAACAACGAGCUAAAGCAAGUUCUUUUUAACACCUGCCAACCUUGAAGGGCAUAUUUGGAAAUACUUGUUAUUGAUUUUCUAAUCAUGAACAAAAUAGUUACAUUAUGUUAGAGACAAAGAUUCCGGUUUCUCUGUCUAUCCCACUAUAGGGGGGUGGGUAGUAUCUAUUCACUCUCCAUCACUGGCUCCUACAAACCUCAUGUGGAAGGAUUUUCCUGACCCAGUUUGGGCUGUCACUCUGCUGAUGUUUUAUAUGAAUGCACUGCUGAUCACUCACUAGUGAGGCACAAUGCCUAGGAACAAUCCCCCACAGACUGUUGUAUAUUUCAUAACUAUGCAUAAGAAUGGCAGUUAAUUCUUUAGGAGUUUAAUUUAAGCCUUUCUGCCGUUUCUAAAAGUAAGUGGGAGAAUGAAUAGAACAGAAUGUUCUCAUUUUGCAGAAAUAGAAUAGCAAACUAUAUAUCAAGAGAGAAAUUAGACUGAAGAGUCUUUAAAAAGACACAUGAGGAGUGGCAAAAGAAAAAUGCCCUCUAAUAGCUAUUUUAUCUUUUGGUAUUUUGGUUCAUUUUCUCAUAAAAGAAAUAUUUGCAUUCUGAGUAUAACUAAUGAUGAUAAGAGGAUAGUGAAACUGGUAUUUUAACAUAUGUAACUAUAUGAUUUCAGUUUGAUAAAAUAGUAGUCAACAGCUAACUUGCAUACUGUAUAUUAUACUGUAAGGUUCUCCUAAUGAAGUUUACAUGAAAUUUCAUUUACUGAAAAAAUAAACAAUGACUAGAUAAUGAUACCCAAUUCUUUCAUCUUUUGAAUACAUGUGUAUAUCAGUACAGAGUAAGCACUAAUAUAAUGUUCUGGUAUAUUUGUAAUCUAUGAGUUAGUACAUGUGUAAAUGCCUAUGUAGAAAAUGACCUUGUGCACUUUUGUGAAGCCCCACAAUUAACAGCACCUAAUGAACUGUCAGAGAAAAGGUACUAAGCACGUGUUAUACUCCGAACCUCAGAGAAAGCAGGGACAGUGUAAAAUUGCCUGAGCUGUUUUCUAGCCCCUCUUUCUGCCAGAUUGCACACUAAGAGAGUCACACUGAUAACUGUGGGAGAGAAAAGAAAUAUCAUAUAUGACAAUGUUUGUCUGUUCUGGCUCAGCAGGGGCUUAACUUUAGAAAACAUACUUAUUUCUAAUUUUGAAGAUAAUUUUAUGCGGGUAUGUGCGGGGCGGUAGAAUAGCAAGAAAACACAAAGUAAGGAAGUGCCUGUGUAGAAACAAGUAAGCUCAAAAUCACCAGUGUCCUAUUAAGGCUACUAAGAAAAGUGCUAACCAGAAGAGUAUGUAUCCCUGACCAAAAAUACGUGCUAUUUGGGGGAACAUUUGAAGUAGAGAAAAGAAGUUAGUAGAAAACACAGAGCUGGAUCAAUUCCAGUGUAUGACUUUUGUCUGAAAAUAGUAAUAAUAUAAUGUUGUUUCUAAAACAUGUCCAAGAGCAACUGAUCAGAUAGUUGUAUAUUAGGUAUUAGAGAAUUCCAAUCCAUUUUGGGCAAAGAAAUAGGUGAAAAGGAGUAUGUGGGAGGAACAUAUGAGGGGGUUAUAUAUGUGUGUGUGUGUGUGUGUGUGUGUGUGUGUGUACACAUACAUACACACACACACACACACACACACACACACACACACACAUAUAUAUAAAAUUGUAAUUAAUGAUUGUAGGAUGAACAGAAAAAGGGUCCAGAAGUCCUCAUAAAGAAAUAACUGGCACAAUUUAAAAAUAAUUGAAAAUAAAAUAUAAUUCAUAAAAUAAUCUUAAAGAUGGACGUAAGCUGUAAAUGCAGGGAAACGUUGAAGUAGUAUUGUCAAUAGCAAAGAUGAACUCUGGGAAGAAGAGUACUUAACGGGGAAGUAAGUAAUUGCAUCGUCUAACCUCCCUCAUGGAGUCACAAAGGCCGGCUAAGGAAGGUAUCAUUUGACACACAGGCAUCUCUCAUGGGCAACAAUAACCAUUGGGAAAAUCAAGAAACUCUAGAAACCAACACUUAAAAUCAGCAGAGAUGACCUAUAAAACAAUAGAUUAGAAAAUCAUUCUGCCAUAUAUUUUAGCUGUCCAGUAAUCUAGAUCUUAAUCUUCCAUUAUAGUUCAGCUAAUUUUGUAUGAGUUACAGAAACAUUCGAAAAAUAUGAACUUUGGUAAAUAUUAUGCUUAUUCUAUAUAUUUAUGUAAAUUCCUCAUCUCUCUCCAAUGGGAUAUUGCACUUGAAGUUGGGAAUUAUGUGGUCAGUUCCAAAAUGUUUUCAUAGUAAAAUGCAGGUCAAACUGAGCUAUACAGGAAAAAUCCUGCCUCAAAUGGCAAAAUAAAAUAAAAUAAAAAAUAAAAAUAAAAAGGAAGCUGAGCAUGGUGGCACAUGCCUUUAAUCCCAGCAGUCUGGAGGCAGAGGCAGGCGGAUUUCUGAGUUCAAGGCCAGUCUGGUCUACAAAGUGAGUUCCAGGACAGCCAGAGCUAUACAGAGAAACCCUGUUUCGAAAAACCAAAAGAAAAAAAAAAGAUAAAAUAAAUAAAUAAACAUUAACAAAUUAAAUAGUAAAGUCAUAUACUUAUGAACAAGAGAGUUUAAUUUUUGUGAAAUGUCUUCCAGGAUCUGAAGAAUAAUUGCAGUUGUCAACAGCUUUUAAGUUGUUAAAUGCUUAGAAUAUAGAAUCGUUUCAUUGUUUUGUUAAUUUUAUAAAUGCUAAUCUAUGAAGUAGAGCCUGUUUGGGAGGAGGGUAGAUUGGUCUUCUGCCCUUUACAUAAUUAUUUACAUAAAUAUGCAGUAUAUACAUAACACGUACCAAUGUUUAUGCUUUUAGAAUGUUACUGUAACUUACACAAAAGUAGCUGAAUUAUAAUGGAGAAUCGAGUUCCAAGGGACUGCACCUCUGAAAGAUAUGGUUGAUUCGUAAAUCCACUGUCUGAUAAAGCAUCUCUCUGCUGAUUUCAAAUGUUCAUUUCUAGAGUUUACUGUUUCUCCAAAUGUUUAUUGUUGACUGUUAUAGAUGCCUGGGUGCCACAUGAUAAUUUCCUUAGCCUUCCUUUGUGACUCCAUGGAAUAGUUCAGAUGACAUUGCAUUGAUUACAUUGGUAAUCUCCGUAAAGAGAUCAAACAUACAUCGAAUAUUGUCUGUCCUUUAUUCUGGGUGGAUUUCUAGAAGGAGAUAGAUUUGAGAAAUGGAUCUGGAUUCUAGAAAAUUUUGGUGUUCUAGGCAAGGAGGUAUCUGUGCUCGUUUUAAACUGUAUUGAAUGCAUGGAGUUGGGGUAAACAUGUGCUUGUUGCAUGAACACGAAUUCAUGGGGUUAUGUAUCUGUGCAUGCUCAUGCAGAGACCAUUAUAAGAUGCCAACUACUAUUCUUCUGUGAUGUCCACAUUGUUGAUUUAGAAAGACUUUCAGGGAACCAAAAGCCUGUCAUUUGGCUAAGCUCUCUAGCCAGUCAGCUCUUGGGAUCCAUCUGUGUUAGAUGUCUGAAUGGUAGAGUUACAGACAAACACAGCCAUUGUCCUAUAUCACUUUCUAUCACUAUGAUAAACAUCAUAACCAAAAGCUGUUUAGAAAAGAAACUUGGCUUAAAUAUCCAGAUCAUAGCCCAUUCCUUAGAGAAAACAGGGUUGGAGCUCAAGGUAGAAACUUAAAGACAGAAACUGAAGCAGAGACUGCAGGAGUGCGCUUACUGGUUUGCUCCUCAUGGAUUAUGACUACCUGCAAACUUGAGGCAAAGACCAAGGUGGUCAGGGAUCUCCCCCAUCAAUCAUUAUUCAAGAAAAUGCCCGAGUGACUUGCUUACAGACCAAACUGAUGGUGGCAUAUUAUUAAAUAAGGUUGCUUCUUCCUAUGUAGCCAUAGCUUAUGUCAGAUUGAAAAACAAAAAACAAAGCAAAACAACAACAAAAUCUAACAAGCCCAGCCAUGCUGGACCCUUUGCAUUCAAAGUAGGAUCUCAUGCUUGCAGAACAUGUGCUCAUACCAAUGAGCCAACUCCUCAACCUGAGGGAGAAUCUUAAUUGAUUUAUCAAUUUCUCCUCAGAGAAAUCUCUACUAGUACCUUUGACCUUUGUCUUGACUCCUGAUAAGAAUAAGCUAUUGAAUGAAGCAUUUUAUAUUUUAUAAUCUUGUGUUCAUGAUCUUACACAUAUCUCUUCAGGUAUUUUCUUUCUUUUGGGACACAUCUGAAAGUGAAGAAUAUUGUAUUCUUAAGAUGAAUAACUCUCUUGAUUGAUGCCUUCACACUUCCCAUGGCAAGGGCCCGAGCUGAGUACCCUAGUAUGACUCUUGUCAAUAAAUAAUUAACACAGGAUAAUGGAAUGGAUGAAUACAUGAAUGGAUAGCCAAAUGAGUGGAAUAUUCAGCAAGGGCUGCCCAAGAUUAAAAUACCCAUAAAGGCAUAACAUUUCUAUAAAUUUCUACUUCAGCCAGUGCCUCUAAGAGUGGUGUAGCCUUGCUAGAAUUUUUAAUAAAUAUUUUCUGAAAAAAUUAAUUGAAUGCAAACAAAUAAUUGUUAAUGAGUCAUUGCUAUAUUACUUGAUCUGAUGACUUCAAAUCCAGUUAACUUGUGCUUUUGGUGCCCUGUAUCAUCAGUCUGUAUAGUAGUGUGCCCCAAACAUUGCUAUUAGAGUGGAAAGUUUCAUCACCUUGGCGAUUAUGAGAUAGAAUCACAGAUAUUAAGCCAACUUGGUUAUGUUUGGGACUAGCUGGGGCCAUCAGCCCAUUAACAUCUGUACCCAUACACAUAUAAAUUUGUAUAGACCACAGGUAAUGAAGAAUAUAUAGAGAAUAUAGAAAUAGAGAAAUAUAUAAUAAAAUUUUAAAUAAAUGUGGUAAUUUAUUAAAGGUUGGAGUUUAAAUCUUUAGUAUUUUUUUUAAGUUUUAAAUGUAGUCUAGGUAUUUUAUUUAGCAAAGUAUAAAAUUGGAUAUAGUCUUAAAUGUACUUGGGGUUUUGCUUGAUCAUUUGUUUUUGAGUAAAGAUUCCUUUAUAUGUAUUUAAUCUAAAAUUUAUAAGCAAGUAUGCUAGUUUCCUAUAAUUAAUUUAACAAAUGAAGAUAUUAUAUAUAUGAAUUUUUUGCUGUUCUACCUCACUAUUUAUAAACAUUGAUUUUUGAGAACUACAUACAUGAGUAUUUCAUUUAAAUCUUUCCACCUCACACUCUGUCCCUUUCUGUGUUGAACCCUGCUUUCUCUCAAUCUUUUCAACUAUUAUUGUUUGAGACACCCGCACAUGCACAUGUAUGUGCAUAUAUAUAAAUACAAUCUGCUGAGUCUAGUUAGUGGUACAGGUAUGUCUGUUUAACAAUUGCAUAGCCUAUCAGAGAUUUAACCCUGGAGAAAGCUGAUCCUUCCUGCCUUAGCAGCCAUUAAAUACAUGAAGCUCUUCAACUAGGGGUUGACCCCUGUGAAAUAUUACCCAUGUACUGUUAUUACGCAGGUCUUGUUUAGACAAAUAUGUUGUUAGGAUUACAUAGAUAUAACUCCCUGUUGUAUUAUUUAGAGUUACUAUUGCACUAUGAUCUAAGCAACCUCAGGAGGAAAGGGUUUAAUCAGUGUAUGGUGGUUCUACAUCACAAUUCAUCAUUAAAUGAAGUCAGAACAGGAACUCAAGCAGGACAAGAACCUGGAGCCAAGAGUUGAUGCAGAGGCUAUGGAGCGGUGCUGCUCACUGGCUUGCCCCUUAUGACCUCUUUCUUAAACAACACAGGACCACCAGCCCAGGGAUAUCAACACUCAUAAUGAGCUCCUCCAACAUAACUCACUAAUUAAGAAAAUGUCCUACAGGCUUGCCUAUGUAGCUGGGUGUUAGAGAGGCAUUUCCUCUCUAAUGAUUCUAGCUUAUGUCAAGUUGACAUAAAACUAGCCAGUGCUCCUGUUAUUUGUUGAAGACACUAACACAUAGCAGACACUCUGGUCCUCAGACUCUGAUAAUCCUUCUAUGCUGUUUCAAUGAUAUUCAUUAAGGUUUAGGCAUAGGGUUUGUGUUGUAGAUGUAUUAGCUGGGAUGGCCAGCACACAAUAAUUGCUCUCUAUAUUUUAACCAGUUAUAGGUUUCUGUGAUAGUCUUUGUAUAGUGCACAGAGAAGCUAUGUUUGUGAGGGGUGAGACCUAUAAGUAUUUGGAAAGAAUUUGGGAACUUUGUUGGUUUAGGAAAAGGCGGUGGUAGGUUUUCUCUUUAGGGCCCCAUAUUACCUGUCACAGGUAAGAUGCUGGACUUAUGGUAUACAACAUGAUGUCUGUCUUAUUGAGUGGGCCUUAAGUCUAAUUGGGUGACUGUUGAUUACCACUGAGAUUUAAGUGCCCACUAUUGUCCACUUGGGUAUGUAUUGUCAUGGUGGUCUUUGUUGUGGUUCACAGGUUUACAGCUUUAUAGGACUUUUAGCUGCUUUUCUCAAUUAGCAGCUUACAUUGCAUCAUGAGAUGCUAUGAGAACUAGUUCUCUGGGAGACAGCUGGCAAAUCAGUUCUAGCUCAAUUCCUUUAAGUCCUGAGCUCAAAGGGUGUGUUGUCCUUAGCAAAAGAGUCAUGCCUUCAAGUUCUGAAAGGCAAGCAAGGAGAGCAGCAAUGUCCUAUAUUGUUUUGGGAGUCUCUUGGAUGCCCAUGGCAAAAAACUCAAAGGAAGAAUGCCCAUGCCAGGCACUAAAAUAUUUGUUAGACAGUCUGUGGCCCUUAGGAAAGCAUUAUCACUGCAUAUGACAUAACUUCAUUUAAAUUAUUUAUGUAUGUAUAUACGUACAUUCUUAUAUUAUAUAUGUAACUUGGCGAAAUCUAAAAUAAUAUGUUUACAUAUGGCUUUCCCAGUGCUCCUUCAUGUUUUUCAACCCUUAAUAUUGCCCUGUCUAACUUCUUUCCAGGCAAAAUACCUCUGCCUUAUUUCCCAUUUUUCUCUUCAUAGCAACUGUGUCCUUCUUUAACCUUCUUUAGAGAUCCUUCUCUUUCCCUCCCAAGGUCUAUUUUUACUUUCCCAAUUUUUGAAGUUUCCCCAGGGUUAUGCACUCACAUCUAAUGAUUUGGAACCAGGAUCCACAUCCAAGAGAACAUGCUGUAUGUGUCUUUCUGAGUAUGGAUUACUUCGCUCAGUAUAUUAUGUUCUAGUUCUAUCCACUCACCUGCAGAGCUCAUAAUCUCAUAUUUCUUUACAGCUGAAUAGAAUUCUAAUGUAUAUAAAUAUGCAUCCACAUUAUCUAUUUGUCAGUUGAAGGUCAUUUAGAUUGACUCCACUUCCUAGUCCGUGUGAAUAGAGCAGCAGUGGCUGAGGAAAUAGGAAUGUGAGACCUGGGCACAUUCAGAGAACUAGACUAAGUGUAAGACACUAGAGGAUAAGAGAACAGACUCAUCUGGCGGGGCUAGAGCACCAGGUGUGCUGGCCUGCCUGGUCCUGGUGUAUAGGUAUAGUAUGAGACUUGAUGCAAUAAACACUGGCAGACAGUGGAGCUAAGUUCAACUCAUGUCCUGAGCCAAGCUUGGAGAUUAGCAGAGUGCACAUAGAAUUUUUUAGACUUAGCUGGAAUACUGAGUUGUGGACUUAGGCUCUGGGUGAGGGUUUAUAUGAGUACUGAAAGCUUAGAGUAGAUUCAGCAGGCCAAGAUAGAUGGGGUAUCCUGGCCUGGUAGGACCUGGAGGGUAAAUAUAGUGCAGGGCUUCUGAUCCCAUUUUCUAGAUAUUGUACAUAAAGUGGCAUUAAGUAUUGAUGGGGACGUAUCUGUAUGGAAGAAUGUUGAAUCUUUUGGGCACAGAUCAAGUGGCAUAUCUGGGGUAAUGGUAGAUGUUCUUGUAGCUCUAGGAGAAUUUCCCAUACUUAUUUCUGUAAUAAAUGUGUCAGUGUGCAGCCUCCCUACAGCAGCAUAGGAGCGUUCCCUUUUCAACACAUCCUCAUUAAUAUUUGUUGCCAGUUGUUCCUUUAAUCCCCUAUAAUCUGACUGGGGUAAGAUGAAAUCUCACAUCAGUUUUAAUCUUUUUAUUUUCCUAAUUACUAAGAAGUUUAACAUUUUAAGAUGUUUAUUAGUUAAUUUCCCCCUUCUCUUGAGUUCACUGUUCACAUUCAUAGCCCAUUUUUUUAAAAAAUGGGUCAUUUGUUUUCUUGACUCUUUGUCUAUUGAGUUCUUUAUCCAUUCUGGAUAUUAACUAUGUCAGAUGUAAAGCUAGAAACAAUUCUUUGCUCUGCUGUGGGUUUGCUUUCACUAAGAUGACUGCUUCUUGGUUGUGACAAACCCAUAGCCAACGUCAUCUUGAAUGAAGGAAAGCUUAAAACAAUCCCAUUCAAAUCAGGAGUAAGGCCAAGCUGUCCAUUGUCAUCACUUCUUAAAUAUAGUACUUGAACAUUACAAAUCAGAAAAGAGGGGACUAGAGAGACAGUUCAGUGAUAAGAAGCACUAACUGCUCUCACAGAGGUCUGAAGUUCAAUUCCUAUCCACCACAUGGUGGCUCACAACCAUCUGUAAAGGAAUCCGGUGUCCUCCUCUGGUGUGUCUGAAGAGAGCAACAGUAUACUCACAUAGAAUAAAUAAAUAAAUCUUAAAAAAAUCAAAUCAGACAAGAGAAGGAAAUUAAAUUUAACAAAUAAGAAAAAGGAUGUCACAUUAUACUUAGUAGUUGAUGAUAUGACAUUAUCCAUUUGAAGGUCCCAAUAUUUCACCAGAAAACGUCAGCGAAUGGUCUGCACUUUCAGCAAAGUGACAGUAUACAAAAUCAACAUAAAAGACCAGCAGGUUUUCUAUUAACCAAUAGCAAUACAACUGAGAAUAGAUGAUGGACACACUCCUGCUCACAAUAUCCUGUAACAAAGAUCUAGAAAUAAUGCAAAAAAAACAGAGUUAUAACAUUUCCACAAUGGAAACUUUAAGUUCCCAAAGAAAGAAACUUAGUAAGAGACUAGCAAAUUAAAAUAAUUUCCAUGUACUUGUGUUGGAAGAAUUAAUAUUGUAAAAAUGAGCAUCCUACCAGAAGCAAUUUGCAGAUUCAAAACAAUCCAAAUCAUUGCAGAUGCAAAACCAUCCAUAUCAAAAUUGUCAUAAAAUUACUCACACAUAUAGAUAAGAAAAAGCAUCCCAAAAUUCAUUUGGAAGUACAAAAGACCUCAGGUAGCCAGAGUGAUCCUGAAGAACAAAGAACAUUCUGGAGGAAUACAGCUUUCAAGCUCUAUUACAGAAUUAUAGCAAUAAAAACAUCAUGGUACAAGUACACUUGCACGCACAUGCAUGCGGGCGCGCACACGCGCGCACACACACACACACACACACACACACACAGAGAGAGAGAGAGAGAGAGAGAGAGAGAGAGAGAGAGAGAGAGAGAGAGAGAGAGUGUCAGUGGAAUAAAUCAGAAGAUCAAACCAUGAGAACAAAUGGUUACAAGCUAUCCUAUAUUUGGCAGAGAAGUGAAACUACACACUGAAGAAAAGAACACAUCUUUGAUUAAUGAUGGUGAGAAAGCCAGAAGUUUGGGCAGCAGACUGAAUUUAGAUCCAUAUCUAUAACCCUCCACAAACUCAACUCCAAAUGGACCAAAGAAAUGGCUGGAAGAAUACCUGGGGAGUAUCUCACAAGAUAGGAGUUUGGAAAAGGACUUUCUAAACAAGACUCCAUUCACUAACAGGCUAAUGCCAAUGACUGACACAAAGAACCUCAUAAAACUAAAAGAUAAGAUUCUUUAGUGCCUGGUUACAGAAUAUGAGCAGUUUGUUUCUUUACGUUCCAUGUGCCAUUACUAGGAGUCUUUGCUCUGGUUACUCUCAUAGAUUCCAUGAAGUUUCCAUCUCAUGGUUUGUUUGAUUGAUUGAUUGAUUGAUUGAUCGAUUUAGACAGGAUUUCACUGUUUCACCCUGGCUGGCCUUUAACUGACAGGGAUCCCUCGGCAUCUGCUUCUGGGAGUGCUGGAAUUAAAGGCAUGGGCCCCAACUGCCCCGUCUCUAUUCAUUUUUUAUUUUAUUUUAUUUUAUUUUAUUUUUUAUUUAUAAUCCAGCCUCUACACCCCUCCCAUAGUUCCUUAUCCCAUUCCUCCUCUCUCUUGGCUCCCAGAGGGUGCUCCAGACACAUACCAGGUCUCCCCCUCCCCUAGGGACUCGAGUCUCUUGGUAUUAGACAUGUCUCAUCUUACUGAAGCCAGACUAGUCCUCUGCUAUUUAUGUGCCAGGGGCCUCAGAGGAGCCUGUGUAUGCUGCCUGGUUUGUGUUUCAUUCUCAGGGAGCUCCCUGGGGUCCAGAUUAGUUGAGACUACUGGUGUUGCCCUCCCAUUCAGCUUCUUCAAUGCUUCCCAGAAUUCAAUCAUAGGGGUCUCCAACUUCAAUCCUUGGUUGGCCAUUAAGUACCUGCAUCUGUCUCAUCAUCUGGUAAGGCCUCUCAGAGGACAGCCAUGCCAGAUUUGCAUCUGAAAGCACCUUAGCACAUCAUAGCAUCAGCAGCAGUGCCAGGCCUUGGUGUCUCCUUACCACCCCAUGAAAUGGAUCCCAAGUCAGGCCAGUCAUUGGACCAUUUUUCCUUCAAUCUCUUCUCUAUUUUUGUCCCUGCAGUUCUUUUAGACAGGAACAAAUUCUGAAUCAGAAAUUUUGACAAUAUGGCAAUUGUUAAAAUUGUUAAUAGUUCUACCUGUAGACCCAGCUAUACCACUCUUGGGUAUAUUACUAAAAGAUGUUCCACCAUACCACAAGGACACAUGCUCCACUAUGUUCAUAGCAGCCUUAUUUGUAAUAGCUGGAAGCUGGAAACAAUCCAGAUGUCAAUCAAAUGAAGAAUAGAUACAGAAAAUGUGGUUCAAUUAUGCAUUGUAAUACUAUUCAGCUAUUAUGAAAGAGGACAUCAUGAAUUUUGCAGGCAAAUGGAUGGAACUCGAAAAUAUCAUCCUGAGUGAGGUAACCCAGACCCAAAAGGAAAUGCAUGGUGUGUACUCACUAAUAAGUGGAUAUUAGCCAAAAAGUACAGAAUAUCUAAAAUACAACCUAGAGAUUGUAAAAAGUUUAGCAAGCAGAAAGGCCCAAGUGAGGAUACUUCAAUCCCACUUAGAAGGGGGAAGGGAAUAAUAAAGGGGGGCAGAGGAAGGGAGUGUCCUGGGUGGGAGAAGUGAGGAGGAGGGAAAAGGGGAAUAGGGUCAGGUACUGGGGGGUGGGGAGGCAGGAGAGAAGCCCAGAUAGCCAGCAGAAUGAAUGGAUCCAGUAUUUCUGAUCCAGAAUUGUUCCUGUCUAAAAGAACUGCAGGGACAAAAAUAGAGAAGAGACUGAAGGAAAGGUGAUCCAAUGACUGGCCUGACUUGAGAUCCAUUUCAUGGGGUGGGUGUUGGGUGGGAGCACCAAGGACUGGCACUGUUACUGAUGCUAUGAUAUGCUUUAAGAUGGAAACCUGAUAUGGUUGUCUCAGGGUCAUUUUUAUUUACAUUUUCCUGAUGAUUAAGGCCUUUGAAUAUUUCUUCAAAUACUUCUCCACCAUUUGAGAUUCUUCUGUUGUAAAUUCUGUUUAGCUCUGUACCCCAUUUUUAUUUGAAUUAUUUGGUUUUUUAUGUUAACUUCUUGAGUUCUUUAUAUAUUUUGAAUAUUAGCCCUUUAUCAAAUGUAGGGUUAGUGAAGAUUUUUUUUCCAAUCCAUAGAUUUCCCAUUUGUCCUAUCGGCUGUGUCUUUUGCAGUAUAGAAGUUUUUCAGUUUCAUGAGUUCAGUUUCAUGAGUUCAUGAGUUUCAUGAGUUCAGUUUCAUGAGUUUCAUGAGUUCCCAUUUGUCUCUUGUCUUAGAGCCUGAGCCAUUGGAGUUCUGUUCAGGAAAAUUUCCCUUUUGCCAAUGAGUUUGAGGCUUUUCCCCACUUUCUCUUGUAUUAGAUUCAGUGUAUCUGUUUUUAUGUUGAGGUCCUUGAUCAACUUGGACUUGAGCUUUGUGCUAGGUGAUAAAUAUGGAUCUAUUUUUAUUUUUAUUUUUUUGCAUACAGACUGCCAGCUAGACCAGCACCAUUUUUUGAAGAUGCUUUCCUUUUUCCACUAUAUAUUUUUGGCUUCUUUGUCAAAGAUCAAGUGUUCAUAGUGUGUGGUUUUAUUUUUUGGUCUUCAAUCCUAUUCCAUUGAUCAACAUGUCUGUGUCUGUACCAAUACCACACAGUUUUUAUCACUAUUGCUCUGUAGCACAGACUGAGGUCAGGGAUGGUGAUUUCUCCAGAAGUUCUUUGAUUGUUGAGAAUUGUUCUGGCUAUCCUGGAUUUUUUGUUUUUCUAUAUGAAAUGAAGAAUUUCUCUUUCCAUAUCUGUAGAGAAUUGUGUUGAAAUUUUGAUGGGGAUUGCAUCAUAGAUUAUUUUUGGUAAAAUGGGCUGUUUUACUAUGUUAAUCCAUGAGCAUGGGAGAUCUUUCCAUCUUUUGAGGUCUUCUUCCAAAUUUCUUGUCAUACAGAUCUUUCACUUGUUUGGUUAGAGUUACAUCAAGAUAUUUUAUAUUAUUUUUGACUAUUGUGAAGGGUGUUGUUUCUGUACUUUUUCUCAUCCCAUUUGUAUAAAGGAAGGCUACUGAUUUGAGUUAAUUUGCUGAAGGUGUUUAUCAGCUGUAGAAGUUCUCUGAUAGAAUUUUUAGGUCAUUUAUGCAUACUAUCAUAUCUCUAUUCUUAAAGCUGCCACAUUCUCCACUCAUGAUACCAGGCUAGGCUAUUCUUCUUAAAUUUGACUUCUCUAAGAUUAUCAGGUUCAUGGUUCCUAAAUUCACACUUUUUCUCAUUCCAACCUUAAACUUCUCAGGCCCUUAGCACAGCAAGGACCAAAGACCUCAGCUCAAAAAAAAAAAAAAAUCACACUUACAAAAGAGCAGAGACUGCAGAGGAAAUAUGGAGGGCAUUUUAGAACUGCUGAAAUUGUUUUUUAUAAAAAAGCAAAGAAUUAGUGUUAGUUACUUUUUAAGCUUUUUGUUUACUUUUAAGAUUGCAAUUUAAUCAUGUUUCUCUAUUCCUUUUCCUCCCUGCAAAACUGCUCCCCUCUAUUCUCUUUCAAAUUCAUGACUCCUUUGUUCAUUAAUGGUUAUUACUUGUAUACGUAUUUGCAUAUGCACUUUUAUUCUUAAAUAAAAUCUGUCGAGUCCUGAUACUCUCUCUUGCAUGUAUGUUUUCAGGGCUGCCUAUUUGGCACUGGACAACCAAUUAAAGUCCUCUUCUCUGAGAGGUUCACCUAUCUCUGUUGCCUGUGGUUCUUUUGUAAGACUGGGGCCUCCUGAGCACUCCCCCAACCAGUUUGCCUUGUGCCACCAUGUCCUUACUUAGCUUUUCUGAGUGCAAAUGAGCUGCCUCUGUAAGCCAAAGUGUACCACAUUCUCAACAUUAUAUAUUUCCCCAGUGCUAAGGAAGCAUCGCAGAAGGUGGUUCCAGUGACUGCCACAGACUGUACAUUUCUAUGCUAUUUGCAUUUCCAAGUUCACCAAACCCAAGCUUCAAUCUGGUAUACAGAAAUGUAGACAAAUCAAAACACAAAUCCUUAUUAGACACUAAAGACUGCAAAUGUUGGCGUGAGAGAACUGCAGGUGGAUUUAAGCAUCAUAUAAUCUGGCUGCCUCAUUUUACAGAUGACAAAGGUACACAGAGAAUAAAGUGAUGGUUUCUCAAAUCCACACAGGUUAUUGGUGAACAAGAAUAAUAACUCAAAGUUCCCAUGGUCCUGAUUACUGCUCUGCUCUACCUCAUAAUAACAAACUAAUUGUGUGUAAUUUUUGUAAACUUAAAAUAUGUAGCUAUCCCAAGUCUUAUCUCUCACCAAAACUAACACAGUUGAAGACUAAGAUAUCUAUUAUAUUUUCCAUAUUCUACAGAGAUUAUUUUAUUAGGAACUUUGUGUCCUUAGAAUACAUGUGAACUCAGUGAAUUGUGUUUCAAUUGUUCAUUUUAUAAGUCAUAAAUUAAGCUUGGGAAGUGGAGGUCACGGGGAUUGUGAAAAGAUAAAGACACCCGUUAAGUCUUUGUACUGUUGGAAUCAUCGGUGUGUUCAGAGAUCUGCCUAAUUUCCACUAUACUUUAGAUUUAGAGGAACAUGAGAAAAGUGGAGGCGUAGAAGCUCAUCUCAGCAAUUUUCCUGUGUGCAAUUUAGUAAAUUCUAAUUCAAGUAUGAAACAAGAAAUCAUUUUGUUAAUUACUUGAAAAGCAACUCACAAGGAUUCCUGGGAAAAAGCUGUGCUUCCUUGGUAGUGCAUGUGAGAGUGGACACUUUGCACACUUUUGCAUGUGCUUUUGUAAUUAUAAUCACUCCCAUAGACUAUACUACAGCUAGAAACUUUUGCUGAUAAAAAUAUUUUAAAAGAAAGAAAAACAAUAAAGCAAUGGGUAAGUUUAAUAAUUUCAUUGUUUUACUGCCUACCUAUGAAUUAUUUGAAGCUAUUCUAUAUGAAGAGAAUGUUGCAUAAAUUGUAAGUAGUUACAAUUAAAGUAAGUAACACUUGAUAAUACUUUUGUCUAAUGUAAAUAUGACGUGAUUAUUAAGGUAGAUGUGGUUUUUUUGCACUGCUACCUAACAUUUGAGACAUUACUAAGAACCUCAAGAGAAUUUAACAAAAGCAUACUUAGUUCACCCUGACCAAUGUAGACAAACCUUACCUCAUUUAAAGUUGGGAAUUGAAUCUCUUGCGCUGUAUAAUUUUAAUGUCACUUACUUUAUGUAAACAAUAGAGUAUAAUUUCCUCCUUAUUUAUGAUUAUUGUAUUUGUAUUUGUAGACAAUUCUUGAGGUAAGGAAUAACAAAUUGUAAAGUAUACAAUAGUUAAGUUGGUUCACAAUUUGAGAGGCAAGGAAAAUUUCUGAGAUUUUUAGAAUCCUCAUGUAAAAUCUCAGAAAGAUGUAGGCUUCUUGUAUUUGCUCUUUGUAGUUUCCCAGUAUAAGUGAAGAGGGCAAGAUGAAAUUUAAAGUCAUGUACAUGUUGACACGUUGAUGAAUUUUUUUUCUAAUUGAAAAUACAUUUUUCUCUCAUACAGUACAUCCUGACCACAGUUUUUCCUCUUUCCACUUCCCCCAUUCCUGUCCCCCCAUGUCUCCCAUACCCUCAUUAUGUCCCUUACCAUCACCACUCAUCUUCCCCAGGCCCAAUGCCCCUGUUUUCCUUCAAACAAAACAUAAUGAGACAAGACAAAUCAGGCUGGAUAAAGCAAUCCAAUAGGAGAGAAAGAGUCCUAAGAGCAAACAAAAGAGUCAGAGACACACCAACUCCCAUUGUUAGGAGUCCUUCAAAACACCAAGCUAACAACCAUAAUAUACCUAAACGGACCUGGUAUAGACCUAUGCAGGCCUCCUGCUUGCUGAUUCAGUCCCUGUUUGCCAGUUGCAUUUGGUUCUAUACUACUUCUCUCCUUCCUGGUCAUCCAGGCAGUAUAGGGUGUAAGGCUCAAGUCAAGCUAGAUCUUAGUUGGCCACUCCCACAAGUUCUGUGCCACCAUUGCCCCAGCACAUCUUGAAGAGAAGAAAAAUUGAAUGCCAAGGGUUUGAAAGAGUUCUGGAUAACCUUACCAAUAGGAACUGUACUUGUGAAGUCAGACAAACAUCAAUUCACCUAUAAGCAUUUCAAUCUCUAUUUCACUUCAGGUGUCCUAGGGGAAAACAUGUAUGUGCAGAUUGUUCUCUCUGUCUCUGUCUCUGCCUCUACAUGUCUCUCUGUCUCUGUCUCUCUGUCUCUGUCUCUCUCUGUCUCUCUCUGUCUCUCUCCCUCUCAGAACCUCCCUCCACCUCUCUCCCCCACCUCUCUCUUUCCUUCAUUUUAUAUUUAUACAUGUAGGUAUUUUAUCUACAUUUGUAUCUGUGUAUCAUAUGUGUUCAGUGAUCACAGAUAACAAAAGAGGCAUCAGAUCCUCUGUGACUGGAGUUUGAUAGAGUGAUGAGCCACCAGUUGGGUACUAGAAGCUGAUUGGGUCCUCUGGAAGAGCAGCCAGUACACUUACCACUGUGCCAUCUCUCCAGCCUUGUUGUUACUUCUCCGUAAAUCCAUCCUUUAUAGUUAUAAAGUACAUUUACAGGUUUAAAUCAUGCUUUGCUCAAAUGCACCAAAAAAAAAAAAAAAAAAAAAAAAAACGAAAUCAGAAAAACAAAACUAGUUCUAUUUCCCUCCGAUACUGAUGUUGCAUUUCUCCCUUAACUAACGGACAAUAAUGCACUUGUUAGUCUUAGGACUCUAAAUACUCAGUGUUUUACUAAUAAAUAGCUGGUUUCAUUAGUCCUUUAAUCAAUACUCAUGUUUUCAAGAGAGCGAGCACCUCUGAAUAGUAUCUCCUAUCUCUUAGCUCACCAUCUCUCUCAGCUCCUUCCUGAGUUGACAUCUGAGGAUUGAAGAAUACAAUGAGUAGAAUGCUCUCUUGCACAAGCUCGUAUCCGAGGAAACAGGGGAAUCUAGAAGUCCAAUGGAACUGUGUAAUUUCAGAUUUCAGAACUCUGAGUGACGGCAAAACCUUGUGUUAACAGGUUCUCCACCUGCCCUGCUGCCUGCUGGCAACUCCCCAGGCAGGUGGAGAACCUUCCUCGUCAGCCUUUGAUGCUGCUUUACACUCAUGUCUCAUGCCACUGGAGAUCUGGACGUCUAAGCUUCAUGUCCUUCCCUGCCUGACUCUUCACUUUCAUGCACUGCAGCGUCUGUUGAUGAACCACAGUGUGGUUCCUCCUAGCACAUGUCUGCUGAGAGUAGUGUCUAGGAGUGUUGCUUCUCUCAUUUGUCUAGAAUGGUUUCUAAUUGAACUAUUAUUACAUUUUUGUUCCUUUUUAAUCUUUUGUCUCAUGAAAAAUCCCCACUGCGUGCAUCAAUCAAUAUCGUACAAAACAACCUCGGAUUCACAAUACACUCUUCUCUCUUCAUUGUGAAAAGUAAAAAUCUAAUAUUCAUAGGUGUGAAAGAAAACACACAACUAAUUUUUAGAAUAGUAACUCAGGCAAGAUUGUAUAAACUUAUCACAAGUAAAAUGAAGAUAAAAUAGCCAAGUCAUCAAUUUUAUGCCUCUUUUUAUAUUAAGUGGAAUAUAAAUUUGCUCUCAAACUACUGACAAAAAUUGAGGCUAGGAAAGAGCAAUGUGUUUUACUUAACUGUAGGCCACAUGUGACUUAAUAAAGUUUAAAAAUAUUCACCUCUAGAAGGAUUAAAGAUGAUUCACAAGCUAUCCUUAUUUUCUGGAUCAAUGAUGAGUUCAGGCAUUUAGUGGAUCAGAAUUACCUAGCGUCUAUAGGGCAAUGUUUCUUGAAGACAACACAGGAUAUAAACUGGAUGAGUAAAACUAACUUAGCUGGUUCUGAAGGAAAUGAAGAUUUAUUAUCAAAAGAAAAGAAAUCAGAACCUCUCAGUGGUUGUUUGCAUACCAGAGCUCUGUGAGCUUGGAUCUUAUUGCUACCUUUUAAAACUUAACAAUAUGCCUCCAAAGCACUCAGGAGGCAGAGGCAGGUGGAUUUCUGAGUUCGAGGCCAGCCUGGUCUACAAAGUGAGUUCCGGGACAGCCAGGGCUAUACAGAGAAACCCUGUCUUGAAAAACAAUACAAAACAAAACAAAACAAAACAAGAUGCCAUAUUCUCUUCCUACAUUUUCAACAUUGCUGAUCUCUGAUGUGUAACUGUUUCUCUUUCACAACCCAUUGUGAAUAUCAUGUGACCCUGUGUCUGCUAUGGAGUGAGUCCAUUGGUGUGAUAUUCUAGAACCCUAUUCUCCUGAAAAAAAAAUGUUUAGAAUCUGCACCUUCCUAGGGAUGGUCCUUGUUGGAUAUGCAUGAUCAUGAGUAAGGUUUUCAUCGAAACUCAUCAAAAAGUAACCCAAAGUAGAAGUGCACUAAGUCUGGAGUCUCAGAGUUCUGUGAGACUUCCUCCUGCACUGGCUCUCAAAUUUGUGACUAUCCCAGAGACAAUGAUGUCUGGAUCUUAUUAGAGAACUUUUUCUAUGCUCCCCAGUUCUCCCUCCCUCUAGUCCACUUGCUGCCAAAUGUCUCUUCAAAACCAAGGGAAAGUUUGCCUUAACUUCACUUAUGCAUACUUAGCACUUUUUACCUUAACUAACUCUUCUUGCCUCUGGGCCAAAAUACCUAAAAUAUCUUCACAGUGAAACCCAAAAGGAAUAUCAAUGAAAAUAUCAGACUAUUUGAAUCUAUGUUUGGAUCUCUCCAUGUACAUCUAGAGAUGAGUGCUGUGAUUUCAUAUGAGAACAGAAGUGCAAAGAAAAUACAAGGACAGUCCUAAAACUUAAAAAUGAACAAAAGCGAAAGGAGACCUAACUCUUGAAAUCCUAUAUAUUUCAAAAGAAAAGCAAUUAGAAAAAUAUGGUUCUUUAGCCUCACUAGCACCGUAACCUCCUUAUUAAUAAUAGGAAACCUACCUUUGAUUAAAAUAAUGUAAUAUGUGCAAUGAGUCCAUUUUUGAUGUUUUCAUUUAUUUGUGAAUGAUAACCAAUUCCCUGACUUUAUGAUAUUCUACUGAGAAACAAUGGAUUAAGAGAUUGCAGGGGUCAAAUGGGGAAAGUAGCCCAUAUUUGAACUUUGUAAUAAUUGUAGUAACACUAAGUAUUGGCUUUAAAAAACACAAGAAGAGCCAAGAGUGAUGGUGCAGUCUUUAAUCACAGCACUGGAGAGAAAGAGGUAGGCUGAUCUCUAUGAGCUGAGGCCAACCUGUUCUACAUAAUGAAUUCCAGAACAGCCAGAGCUAUGCAGAGAUAUACUGUCUCAGAGAACCAAAAAUAAAUAAACAUGUUUUACUAUAACUUGUUAUGCCAUGUUUGGUUGAUAUUUCUGGGAAGUCUGCACUUUUCUGGAGGGAAAAAGAGGAGGAAGAGUGGAUCUGAGGAAGAGGGGACAGGGGAGAAGUGGGAGGAACAGAAGGAAGAAAACUGUGGUCAUGAUUUAUUAUAUGAGAGAUGGAUUUUUAAAGUAGUUUAAAAGUAUAUUUAAUUCAGAGAUAUAUGAAAUGUAGAGUGUUAUCCAUAAUUCUAAAUGUAAUUUGCAUAAAUUAUGAUUUAUUUUAUUUUUUCUUCAUCUUAAGUACACAAGUAAUGGCUUGGAAACAUUAUUUGCUAAUUGAGAAUUAUUCUUUUUAUUUCAAAAUGAGGAUUAUAUUCAAAGUUAGCAACUAUAUUUCAAUAAAAUACUUUCCAUUAAUUGUCAAAAAUACUUUUAAUGUAAAAUGAAUGUGGUAAUAUGCUGAUAAAUGGAGACAUGAAGAAAUCAUAAUUCAUUCCUAACUAAACUAAUCAAAAUUUUCACUUUUGUAUGUUCAUCUCUGUUUAUUUUAAUUCCACUGUUUACUUUGCAUAUCAGCAUUAACUUGAGCCUACACCCCUCUUUAGGAGGACAAGGUUCAGUCAGGGAGAUCAAUUGAGAUCAGCAGUUCAAGAUAAGCCAAGGAAACAAACCUUGUCUUAAAAGACAGAAAAACAAGAAAAUUAAUAACUCCCAAGUUUCUCAUACAUAUGGAAUCCCUUUUGUGUAUCACAGUUGGUUCAUGCAUUAUUCAAUGUAAAAUGUAUUCGAAGGUAGUAAUUUAAUUGUAUUAUAAGAUUCUAAGUUGUGUCCAUCAUCAUUUAUUUGGUAGCUGUUAUUUUUAUAAAUUUUAAAAUAAUCAUUUCAGCCAAAUUUUUCAAAUGCACUCUAAGACUAAUUGUUUUUAAUAAACUAACAGUCAAAGAUAAUUAAUUUAUCAAGAUGUCUGCCCUUUAAAAUGACCUUGCCAUAUUUCUUCUCAUUGACAUUUUUCCACUUACCUGCAUUUUAACUAAUUGAAUUGCAGAUGCUUGAGCCAGAAGUUCUGAGCCACACAGUAUGCCAUGCUCACUUGUCAAACAGGCAGGAAUUAGAAACUGGCUAAAUUCUAAUUCAUUAUAAUUGACACUAAUAUGAGAGUUAUUUUUUUCACAUUUGUUCAUAAUUUCUCAUGCUUUUAUUGUUGAUUUUUAUCUUUAGCCUUUUUUACACACAUCUGAAUAAAAUACAGGAUUUUAAAAAUUGGUUGAAUUAAGUAAUUUAAAAGAAGCAGCAGGGAGGCCAGGAUGAUAGCCUGGUUAUUAAAGUGCUUGGGUAAGUGUAGGGCCAUGAGUUCAAUUCUUGAAAUCCAUGGAGAGGAAAAAAAAAAAGCAAGGUAUUGUGGAGUGCACCUUUAACCCCAGAACUAAAGAUGUGGAAAUAGAUGGACCUCUGGGAAUCACUAGCAUAUGCAAGAGACCAGAAGGAGACUCUGUGGGAAAGAAAAUGAAGGAAGAAAGCAAGGGAGGGGUGAGGAAAGGAGAGAAGGAGGGACAGAAGAAGGAGGGAAAAGCAAUGUCACCUAACAUUGUACGCUGGCCUCCACACGCACCCAUAAAUACGUGAAUACACCUAUAUACAUAGACAAUUGCAUACAUAUAGAUAGCAGCACUUAUAUUUUCUAUUCCCCAUGCUGUAUGCAUAAGUGUGUGUGUGUGUGUGUGUGUGUGUGUGUGUGUGUACACAAAUAUAUCACUAAGUAGUAGGCCAGAAAUGUAAGAACAAAAACAUAUAAAUCCACAAUCCAAGAAAUGCAUCUUUAAGAUCUUUCAUACGUUAAUACAGGAAGGGUCAGAUGCUGUGUGGUAUGCUAGAAUAUAUCCUAAACAAGAGAAAAAUCUUCCUACCACAGCUAAAAUGAAGACAAAUACAACAUAAAAUAAUUAGCUGACAAAACACGUUCUAUGCUUCAAUAGAUUUGACUAGACUUUCCCUGUAAAUUUAAGGAGACUUUACUGUAAAUCCUAGUUACAUGUACAGUGGGAAGAAGAUAUACAUUCACCACUUUGUAGGCCUGUAAAAAUAUUCAGGCUGACUUUUUAAGGGUCUAUUUUAUACCACUGGAGGAAAAGUUGGCAAAAGAGAAAGUUCAAGAUUUCUAGGGGAAAAGAGCCAACACUGAAAAACAAAACUUUAAACAGCAAAUCACAUUUUUGUGUAUGGCAUGCUUCCAUCAUACCAGCUCAAUGGGAUUCUCAAUAAGAAGAAUUUCACAGUCCAUGCCUGACACUAUCAAGGUUUCCAAAAAUGACAAAAAAUGAAAUUAUUUCAGACAGUAGGCAUUUUUCCACAGUUUUGAAACACUUACACAUGUGCACGCACAUGAGUGCACAUGCAAACACACACACACACAAACACACACACACAUACACACACACACUUCUCAUUUCUUUUCCAAAUAUUUCUACUUAUAACUCUCCAGGUAGCUGUUUACUGCUGGCCACUGGACCAUUAUCAGUCUGACAACUGCUAAACAAGAACCCUAAUCUGAUUUAACAGAUCUUCUCUGAAAUGAUUUACCUUGUCAUUGCUACAGAGCAGGCUAAAUUGGAAAGCAAAAUUAAUCUGCUUCUCUAAAAGUGCAUUCUAGCUUACCCGGGCAGUCUGUGGAAUAAUUCAAAAUAGCAUUGGCACCGCUCCACGCCCAAGAAUCUUAGUAGGAAUACAGAUAUGUGGAGACUAGCAUUGAAGUUUAUUUACUUUGGACACAUGGGCAAAUAAGAUUCAAUUAUUUACAACUUUUUAGGCUCCCCCCCCCAACCUACUGAAAGGUUUGUGACUUUCAUUCCACUUUUAUGAAAAAAUUAGUCUUUUUCUAUUUCUUAGGAGUACAAAAGAGCUGGACAGUGGAGGCGCACACCUUUAGUUCCAGCACUUGGGAAGCAGAGGUAGGCAGAUUUCUGAGUUUGGGGCCAGCCUGGUCUACAGAGUUAGUUCCAGGACAGCUGGGGUUACACAGAGAAACCCUGUCUUGAAAACAACCAAAAGAAAAAAGAAAAAAAAAGAAAAAAGAAAAGAAAAGACUUUAAGAGUACCAAAGCACUCUUGAAUAAUCUUUAUGGCAACUCAUAAAACUGAAAAGUUGAUAUUUAUAAUUUUAUGGAAUUAUUAAUAAGCAUUAAAAUAUUUUUCUAUGUUCUAUUUUUUGUGUAGUUAACACAAAGAAUGUUUUUAGUAAUUAACUAUCUCUGCACACUGUUCCUGAAAACUAGUUUUAAGAGGGGUGUUCUUGCCUUCCUUUGAGUUUGGGUUCUUGCUCUUUUAGUUUUACAGGUCUUCUUCAUAUUUUUUUUCUAUUUUCUUGAGACAAGAAAACAUCAGCUAAUAUCUUAACAUGAAAAAGUUCUGCAAAGAAUAGAUAUGAGGGAUUUGGAGAGAGCAAAAUCCAAAGGUCAAAAAGAUUUGAGAGGAGGCAAGAAGAAGGGAGUUGCUUGAAGGCUAUACUUGCUGUUUCUCACUGGAGUCACUGUGAGCACUGUGUUCUUAGUGGAAUUUUGUCCUUUGAUUUUUUUUUAAUAUUUUUAUUACAUAUUUUCCUCAAUUACAUUUCCAAUGCUAUCCCAAAAGUCCCCCAUACCCCCCCACUCCCCUAACCACCCAUUGCCAUUUUUUUUUUGGCCCUGGCGUUCCCCUGUACUGGGGCAUAUACAGUUUGCAUGUCCAAUGGGCCUCUCUUUGCAGUGAUGGCCGACUAGGCCAUCUUUUGAUACAUAUGCAGCUAGAGUCAAGAGCUCCGGGGUACUGGUUAGUUCAUAAUGUUGUUCCACCUAUAGGGUUGCAGUUCCCAUUAGCUCCUUGGGUACUUUCUCUAGCUCCUCCAUUGAGAGCCCUGUGAUCCAUCCAAUAGCUGACUGAUUUUUCUUUAAUUGAGACAAGUUCUCUGUAAUCUAGUCUUCUUGGAGCUCAAUGUGCAAUCCAGACUGGCUGUGAAAUUCUUCUGUCCCAUUAUUUCUGCCUAGCACUUCCAUAUGCUAAGGGCUUUUUCAUCACAGAAAGUAACAUGGGCUAAGGGAUGGCUUGAUGGCUCAGAUACUUGGUGCUCUUUCAGAGGAUUUGAGUUUAUAGUUCCCAGCACCCACACUGGGCAGUUCAAACCACAUUGUAACUACUGCUCCUUAAACCAAUGUUUUUCUUUUCUACUCUCUGUGAGCACACAAAUGGAAUACACACACACACACACACACACACACACACACACACACACACACACAAAUAAAGCAAGUAUGUCUUUAAAAUCACUAUAAGUCACAUCCGGUGCUUUGCAUGAGGUUUUCAACUGCCAUAUAUACAGCUGAGAAAAGAGCUAUGUCUUCGAGGCCCACUAAGCCACAGAGAGGAAAGGACCACUGGCCUGGAACACAGGUGGGAGAUCUUGGUUUCAAAAUCUUUUUCUAUAUUUAAAAAUAUAUAAAUCAGUGGCUCUUAAAACUGGAUUGUUAUUUACAUAGCAACUGAGAAGCAUUUCGACUUCUGUGCCAAUACGUGUGCCUAGGUAUUGCAAUUUACUUUUUAAAAACAACUAAAAAGGCAUUCAGAAGGAGAAACAUAAAUAUAAAAAAUUAUAAAUAUAAAGUAUAUAAAAUAUAAAAAUAUAAAAAAUUACCUGAAGAGGGAAAAAUACAUCUUAUGUACUGUGAAUAUUUAUAAAAAUGGACUGAUGUAUUUUAAUAUCAGACUGAUGUAUUUUAAAUAUAUGUAUUCAUAUAUCAAAUGUAUUAGAGAAUAAACAACAAAAAUAAGUGUUGUUCAAACCAAUAUCAUUCAUUAUCUAUAAGUCAAUGUUCAUUCACUACACAGAAAAUUAUUAAUUUUUAAAAAAUUUAUAAGAAUUAAUAAACAUUAUUAAGCCUCAACUUACUUAUCUUGAUUAUAAACACACACAUAUACAAACACAAACACAUAUUACAAUAGAGUAAUCAAUAUCAUAUAUAGUAUAUAUUGGAUAGGUAAUUAUGUUUUAGUUUUUACUUUUAUUAGAAUUGAAGUAAAGAAAGCUCAUAGUCUUCAUUUACAUAAGUAACAGAAACCUGUAUAAGUAACAUAACUUCAUCCAAACUAAACUAAUUGGACAAAACAACUACAAUGAAAGAGUGUGGUUUCUUCCACAAAGAAUUUGAGAGGUAAUCUCUAGUAAAAAUAGAAAAAAAAAAAUGAAGCUAAGGCUGUUCCACAGCCCUCUACACCCAAAUACCACUAAGAGAGAGCUGGACUCCCAGGAGUGCUCUCACGCCUAAGCCCACACAGGUGAGAAUACCACUUUUGCUCCAAUAACUGUUCAAAGAAGGACCUGCCAGGAGCACACAGAGCACAGGAACAGCAGAGCAUCUGGGCACAUGAUCCUUUAGGUCUCCAUCUGUAGGCCAGAGCUAAGGGUGUCACACAGCCUUUUGUACCCAAAUUCCACCCAAGAGAGGGCUGGUCUCCCCAGGAAUGCUAAUACACGUAAGAUCAUAGACUAACAGGCCCACAGAAGGGACAAGAUCCAGUCAGAGACAGCAAGACCAAAUAACACCAAGACAACCAGAUGGUGAGAGGCAAGCACAAGAACUUAAGCAACUUAAAACAAGGUUCCUUGACAUCAUCAGAACCCAGUUUUUCCACCAGAACAAACCCUUGAUACCCCAAUGCAGCAGAGAAGCAAGUUUCAAAUUUGAAAUCACACCUCAUGGUGAUGAUAGAGGACUUUAAGGAGGACAUAAAUAACUACCU